CUUCAGCAGUUUAAUCCCUGCUGGCAGAUUCUGCAACUACAACUACAACAACUACAAUACAACUACAACAACAACUACAACUACAUCUACAACUACAACAACUACAAUACAACUACAUCUACAACUACAACUAUAACUACAACAAAAACUACAUCUACAACUACAACAACUAUAACUAAAACUACAUCUACAACUACAACAACAACAACAACAACUACAACUACAACUAGAACUACAACAACUAAAUCUAAAACUACAACAACUACAACAGCAACUACAUCUACAUCUACAACUACAACAACAACUAUAACUACAACUACAUCUACAACUACAACAACUACAACAACAACAACAACAACAACUAUAACUACAACAACAACUAAAUAUAAAACUACAACAACUACAUCUACAACUACAACAACUACAACAGCAACUACAUCUACAACUACAACUAUAACUACAACUAAAACUACAUCUACAACUACAACAACAACAACAACAACUACAACUACAACUAGAACUACAACAACUAAAUCUAAAACUACAACAACUACAACAGCAACUACAUCUACAUCUACAACUACAACAACAACUAUAACUACAACUACAUCUACAACUACAACAACUACAACAACAACAACAACAACAACUAUAACUACAACAACAACUAAAUAUAAAACUACAACAACUACAUCUACAACUACAACAACUACAACAGCAACUACAUCUACAUCUACAACUACAACAACAACUAUAACUACAACUACAUCUACAACUACAACAACUACAACAACAACAACAACAACAACUAUAACUACAACAACAACUAAAUAUAAAACUACAACAACUACAUCUACAACUACAACUAUAACUACAACAAAAACUACAUCUACAACUACAACAACUAUAACUAAAACUACAUCUACAUCUACAACUACAACAACAACUAUAACUACAACUACAUCUACAACUACAACAACUACAACAACAACAACAACAACAACUAUAACUACAACAACAACUAAAUCUAAAACUACAACAACUACAACAACUACAACAACAACUAUAACUACAUCUACAACUACAACAACAACAACUAUAACUACAACAACAACUACAUCUACAACUACAACAUCAACUACAUCUACAACAACUACAUCUACAACUACAACUACAUCUACAACAACAACAACAACCACAACCACAUCUACAACAACUACAUCUACAACUAUAACUACAUCUAAAACUACAACAACAACUACAUCUACAUCUACAACUAAAACUACAUCUACAACUUAA
ensembl:lncRNA